UACAGAGACCCCGAGCGUUAUCCGGAAUUACUGGGCGUAAAGCGCGAGCAGCCGGUUCUGUUAGUCCGGUGUUAAAUCCCAUGGCUUAACUGUGGGGCCGCAUCGGAAACGGCAGGGCUAGAGCGGCUGAGAGGCAAGCGGAACGUGCGGUGUAGGGGUGAAAUCCAUUGAUAUUGCACGGAACACCAAAAGCGAAGGCAGCUUGCUGGCGGUCUGCUGACGGUCAAUCGCGAAAGCGUGGGGAUCAAAAAGG
rnacentral:misc_RNA from 1 species